rnacentral:tRNA from 1 species
GCAGUCAUGUCCGAGUGGUUAAGGAGAUUGACUCGAAAUCAAUUGGGCUCUGCCCGCGUAGGUUCGAAUCCUUCUGACUGCG